rnacentral:rRNA from 1 species
CAAUAGCGUAUAUUUAAGUUGUUGCAGUUAAAAAGCUCGUAGUUGGAUUUCGGUUAAGAGCGACCGGUCCGCCGUUUGGUGUGCACUGGUUGGUUUUAACUUCCUGUAGAGGACGUGCUCUGGGUUUAACGACCUGGACUCGGAGUCUACGUGGUUACUUUGAAAAAAUUAGAGUGUUCAAAGCGGGCUUACGCUUGAAUAUUUCAGCAUGGAAUAACACUAUAGGACUCCUGUCCUAUUUCGUUGGUCUCGGGACGGGAGUAAUGAUUAAGAGGAACAGUUGGGGGCAUUCGUAUUUCAUUGUCAGAGGUGAAAUUCUUGGAUUUAUGAAAGACGAACUACUGCGAAAGCAUUUGCCAAGGAUGUUUUCAUUAA